CCUACGUGAGGCAGCAGUGAGGAAUAUUGGUCAAUGGGAGAGAUCCUGAACCAGCCAAGCCGCGUGAGGGAAGACGGCCCUAUGGGUUGUAAACCUUUUUUGCCGGAGAACAAAACCCGGGACGUGUCCCGGACUGCGUGUAUCCGAAGAAAAAGCAUCGGCAAACUCUGUGCCAGCAGCCGCGGUAAUACGGAGGACGCGAGGGUUAUCCGGUUUUAUAGGGUUAAAAGGGUGCGUAGGCGGUCCGUUAAGUCAGCGGGAAAAUUGCGGGGCUAAACCCCGUCGAGCCGUUGAAACUGGCAGACUUGAGUUGGGGAGAAGUACGCGGAAUUCGCGGUGUAGCGGUGAAAUGCAUAGAUAUCGCGCAGAACUCCGAUUGCGAAGGCAGCGUACCGGCGCCAGACUGACGCUGAGGCACGAAAGCGUGGGGAUCGAACAGGAUUAGAUACCCGAGUAGUC
rnacentral:rRNA from 1 species